AUUUGUUAAACUAAACUUUUUUACGUUUCUUAUGUUAAAGCUGCAAUGUGUAACUUUGGGGUUAAUAAUAAACAAAAAUCAGUCAUUGAGGAAGGAAAUAAAAGUCGGUAUUAAAGUAUCCUUAUCCCGUUUCUAAUGAUAAUGAUUUACAAUUUGAGCUAAAAGUCAGGUAUACUUAAGGAAAUGUCAGCUUGACUUCAACUCACAAAGAUAAGUAUGUAGAGCAACCUGGAAUUUUAUGUUUCAAACAGAGAUGUCAAUAGACUGAUUUCACUCCGCUGCUAUGUUGAAAUCAAAAACAAGGCAGAGGUGGGAAGAAAACCAGAAGGACAGGUAGACUACAAUGGUUUGAACUACCAUCGGGUGUCUGUUACAUGAAAAAACAAAUGAUGUGUUUUAAAACAACGUUAGAUUGGCUGUGUGCGCGAAUGAAACCCGUUUAUGGCAGUUUAAACAGUCACUAAUAUGUGAUACAGCUUAAGGGGUCAAGUAAAACAGCUCGUGUGACAUGCAUCCUAUACUUAUAUUGUCACAUUUAUGAUCAUAAUCGUUUUAAUAACUCCUGGUUGGUUGUCCAAACCAUUCCAGUCAAUCUGUCUUUCCGGUUUUCUUCCCACCUCUGCCUCACUUUCGAUUUCAACAUGGCGGGGGGGAAAUCGGUCUAUACGGAGGCAAACGUUACAAAAAAAUGAAAAUACAGUAAUAUUAUUUUAUGUUGUUCAUCUACACUCUUAAAAAGAUGCUACAAAAGCGAUUCUUUUCAACAAUGCCAUUAAACAACCACUUUUGGUUCCCUAAAGAAUCAUUCAGUCAAAGGUUCUGACUAAAAGAGUCAAAAGGACCUCUACAAAGAAUUUCGUUUUAUGGCAUCACCUUUAUUUUUAGUAGUGUAUUAUGGUUGUUGAGUGGUUGCUAAACUAAAAUCAUUUAAUUUCAAGUUCAUUUUCAGUUUGUUUUGAUUCAGACGGUCUAACAGGGCUGAAGUCUGCCUGCGUGAGUUUCUCCUUUUGAAAUGAAUCUACACUGUAAAAAAUUCCUGUUAAUUUACAUGGAAAUUUAACAGCAAAAUGCUGUUUUCGUUUAAUAGCAGUAUGUUACUGUUUUAUACAGUGCAUUGUGGGAAGACUUGUUCACUUCAGGUUAGUGGUCGAACAACCACAGUAUGUCACUGUUAUUUAACAGCAUUAUACCAUAUUUUCCUAUCUGCGCCAUUUGGAUUAUCAGCAUGAGGUACGUCUGCACCUUUAUCUAUGGUUGUAAUAUCUUUAAAUUAAAUGUUAGAUCUUAAAUAUCCAGUGAAGUUUUUAUUAUUUAAUAACAUUUCCUGUUUUAAUCAGGCAAAGUAUUUCUGAAAACAACGCUAAGAUACUGUAUGCUGGUUAGCGGAAAACUUCUGAAACAGUGACUGGGUAGCGUUAGCUUAAACAGGAGAUUCAAAUGCUUGUGACUAAAAGGAGAAAGUCUAAUGGCUCACUUUGCAGAGAAGCAAGAAAAAAUGAUUCUUAAAAAAAUGAGUCUGACAACAGCCAGUGCUCCACAUAGAGAUCUGAUCUUAUCAUCAUCAUCAUCAGUCUGUUUGAAAUGACAUGAAGAACCAGAACAAACUGAGACAAAGUAAAUCCAGAAGACCUGUGGCAAUGUCUCCAAGAUGCUUCAAGAAACCUACCUUUUAACUGUUGUUUAACCGGCUUGUAUGUUGUAAACCGUGUUUUCAUUUGUUUGUUAAAGUGAGAGUUCACCCAAAAAUGAAGAUUCUGUCAUCAUUUACUCACCCUCUUGUCAUUGUAAACCUGUAUAACUUUCUUUUUUUCUGCAGAACACACAGGAAGACAUUUUGAAUAAUGUUGGUAACCGGCCCCCAUUCACUUGCAUUGGUUUUGUGUCCAUACAAUUGAUGUGAUUGGGUGUCGGCGCUGUUCGGUUACCAACUUUCUUCAAAAUAUCUUCUUUUGUGUUCUACAGAAGAAAGAAAGUCAUAAAAGUUUGAAAUAACCAGAGGGUGAGCUAAUGAUGACAGAAUUAAUUUUUUUUGGCGAACUAUCACUUUAAACCUUUUUAUUUUUUAAUUGAAUGAUUUUUUUAUUAACCUGUUUUCGUUUUAGGUUAGUGACAUUGAUUUGAAGCUACAUUUGUAUUUUAUGUUAAGGCAUUUAUAAUGCCUUAUUGUGUCUUAUUUGUUUUUGUUUAGUUGCUUUACGAAAGCCAUUUUUGUAUUUUUAUACAUUACGGGUGCUUUUUUGUUGCACCAUAGUUUGUGCAUUAAAUAUUAUAAUGAUGGCUUGUAUUUUUGCCAAUUUUAUGGCGUAACAAACAAAGCAUAUAAAAUCUGAUGUUGAAUAGGAAUAAAGAAAAGAUGAAAAAAGAAUAAGUUGGCUUCAUUUGUUUUUUAUCCACAAAUAUAAAAUACAGGGUAUAAUUGCAUUUUAAUUAAAAUAAGUUGACUAGUAUGUAAAUUAACAGCUGUAUGCUGCUAAGUAACAUUAGUAUGCUGUUCUUAAAACAGUAUCAUGCUGUUAAUUCAAAUAACAGUAACCCGCUGUUAUUUAACAGUAUAAAGCUGGCAACCACAGCUGCCAGUAGAUUACCGUUUUUUUACAGGAUCAUUUUUUACAGUGUACCACGUUCCAACAGUUUGACUUGUUCAAGCCAAUGUAAAGAAAAGAUUGUGAAUAUAAUAGGCGAGCAUUAUUGCAAUGGAAUGAUAAUCAGCCAAUCAAAGUGCAAUGGAGGCACUGUCUCUUUUCACGUAAAUGUUCUCUUUAUCUCACUCCCACCACCUACAUUUAAUCCCCACUAUAUGAGAACCCUAAUGAGAACACAAGCUCUUUGUUUGCUUCAUUUCUGUAUUGUUUCUUAUCCAAAUCUUGAAUGGGGGUGCUGCUUCCAUUACCUCCUGUGAGCAAAUGCCGCUGUAUGUGUAGUCAUAUCACAGUGCGUGUUAAUAUUUCAGCAGUAUUGACCGCAUG